UUCUUCUAUGAUGAUAUAUUGGAAGUAUAACCUGCCCACUGAAUUAAUUGAAUGGCCGCGGUACUUUGACCGUGCAAAGGUAGCAUAAUCAUUAGUCUAUUAAUUGUAGGCUGGAAUGAAUGGUUGGACGAGACACAAACUGUCUUAGUAUUAUUGUAAUAGAAUUUAAUUUUUAGAUAAAAAGGUCUAAAUGUUUUCAUGGGACGAGAAGACCCUAUAGAGUUUAAUGUUGUAUAUAAUUUAUUUUGUUAGUGAAGUGUAUAUAAUUGUAUAUUGUAUUUUGUUGGGGUGAUGGCGAGAUAAAAUUAACUUUCGUUUAUUUUAAAUAUUGUGAAUUGAGUUUAAUGAUCCAUUAAUAAUGAUUAUAAGACCAAAUUACCUUAGGGAUAACAGCGUAAUCUUUUCGGAGAGUUCAAAUCGAUGAAAGGGGUUGCGA
rnacentral:rRNA from 1 species